UGUAGAGUUUGAUCCUGGCUCAGAAUGAACGCUGGCGGCGUGCUUAACACAUGCAAGUCGAACGAGAAAGCGGGGGCAACCCCGUGAGUAAAGUGGCGACCGGGUGCGUAACACGUGACUAACCUACCCUCAAGUGGGGAAUAACUUCGGGAAACCGAGGCUAAUACCGCACAACAUCGCGAUCGUAAAGGUCGUGAUCAAAGCAGCAAUGCGCCUGAAGAGGAGCCUGCGGCGGAUUAGGUAGUUGGUGAGGUAAUGGCUCACCAAGCCCGCGAUCCGUAGCCGGCCUGAGAGGGCGGUCGGCCACACUGACACUGACAUACGGGUCAGACUCCUACGGGAGGCAGCAGUCGGGAAUUUUGGGCAAUGGGCGCAAGCCUGACCCAGCAACGCCGCGUGAAGGAUGAAGUUUUUCGGAAUGUAAACUUCACAAGAACGGGAAGAAUAAGUGAAGGCUAAUACCUUUCACGAUGACGGUACCGUUUGUAAGCUCCGGCUAACUCCGUGCCAGCAGCCGCGGUAAUACGGGGGGAAGCAGCGU
rnacentral:rRNA from 1 species